UCCGAAGGGGGCUAGCGUUGUUCGGAAUUACUGGGCGUAAAGCGCACGUAGGCGGACGUGUCAGUCAGGGGUGAAAUCCCGGGGCUCAACCUCGGAACUGCCUUUGAUACAGCACGUCUUGAGUCCGGAAGAGGUGGGUGGAAUUCCUAGUGUAGAGGUGAAAUUCGUAGAUAUUAGGAAGAACACCGGUGGCGAAGGCGGCCCACUGGUCCGGUACUGACGCUGAGGUGCGAAAGCGUGGGGAGAAAACAGG
rnacentral:rRNA from 1 species